AACAGGUGGAGCCUGCGGUUUAAUCGGACUCAACGCCGGGAAAACUCACCAGAUAAGACAGCUGAAUGAUAGUCGGGCUGAAGACUCUACUUGACUAGCUGAGGGGAGGUGCAUGGCCGUCGUCAGUUCGUACUGUGAAGCAUCCUGUUAAGUCAGGCAACGAGCGAGACCCACGCCAACAGUUGCCAGCUCGUCCUCCGGGAUGGUGGGGACACUGUUGGGACCGCCUCUGCUAAAGGGGAGGAAGGAAUGGGCAACGGUAGGUCAGCAUGCCCCGAAUUAUCUGGGCUACACGCGGGCUACAAUGGGUGGGACAAUGGGUAUCGACACCGAAAGGUGAAGGCAAUCUCCUAAACCCAUCCGUAGUUCGGAUUGUGGGCUGCAACUCGCCCACAUGAAGCUGGAAUCUGUAGUAAUCGUGUCUCAAAAUGGCACGGUGAAUAUGUCCCUGCUCCUU
rnacentral:rRNA from 1 species